GAUGAACGCUGGCGGCGUGCCUAAUACAUGCAGGUCGAGCGAACGGACGAGAAGCUUGCUUUUCUGAUGUUAGCGGCGGACGGGUGAGUAACACGUGGAUAACCUACCUAUAAGACUGGGAUAACUUCGGGAAACCGGAGCUAAUACCGGAUAAUAUUUUGAACCGCAUGGUUCAAAAGUGAAAGACGGUCUUGCUGUCACUUAUAGAUGGAUCCGCGCUGCAUUAGCUAGUUGGUAAGGUAACGGCUUACCAAGGCAACGAUGCAUAGCCGACCUGAGAGGGUGAUCGGCCACACUGGAACUGAGACACGGUCCAGACUCCUACGGGAGGCAGCAGUAGGGAAUAUUCCGCAAUGGGCGAAAGCCUGACGGAGCAACGCCGCGUGAGUGAUGAAGGUCUUCGGAUCGUAAAACUCUGUUAUUAGGGAAGAACAUAUGUGUAAGUAACUGUGCACAUCUUGACGGUACCUAAUCAGAAAGCCACGGCUAACUACGUG
rnacentral:rRNA from 1 species